ACGAACGCUGGCGGCGUGCCUAAUACAUGCAAGUAGAACGCUGAAGAGAGGAGCUUGCUCUUCUUGGAUGAGUUGCGAACGGGUGAGUAACGCGUAGGUAACCUGCCUUGUAGCGGGGGAUAACUAUUGGAAACGAUAGCUAAUACCGCAUAACAAUGGAUGACACAUGUCAUUUAUUUUGAAGGGGCAAUUGCUCCACUACAAGAUGGACCUGCGUUGUAUUAGCUAGUAGGUGAGGUAAUGGCUCACCUAGGCGACGAUACAUAGCCGACCUGAGAGGGUGAUCGGCCACACUGGGACUGAGACACGGCCCAGACUCCUACGGGAGGCAGCAGUAGGGAAUCUUCGGCAAUGGGGGCAACCCUGACCGAGCAACGCCGCGUGAGUGAAGAAGGUUUUCGGAUCGUAAAGCUCUGUUGUAAGUCAAGAACGGGUGUGAGAGUGGAAAGUUCACACUGUGACGGUAGCUUACCAGAAAGGGACGGCUAACUACGUG
rnacentral:rRNA from 1 species